GUAGGUGGCAAGCGUUGUCCGGAAUUAUUGGGGCGUAAAGCGCGCGCAGGCGGUUCUUUAAGUCUGAUGUGAAAGCCCACGGGCUCAACCGUGGAGGGUCAUUGGAAACUGGAGAACUUGAGUACAGAAGAGGAAAGCGGAAUUCCACGUGUAGCGGUGAAAUGCGUAGAGAUGUGGAGGAACACCAGUGGCGAAGGCGGCUUUCUGGUCUGUAACUGACGCUGAGGCGCGAAAGCGUGGGGAGCAAACAGGAUUAGAUACCCUGGUAGUCCACGCCGUAAACGAUGAGUGCUAAGUGUUAGGGGGUUUCCGCCCCUUAGUGCUGCAGCUAACGCAUUAAGCACUCCGCCUGGGGAGUACGGCCGCCAAAGGCUG
rnacentral:rRNA from 1 species